rnacentral:rRNA from 1 species
GAUCCCCUACGGGGGCAGCAGUAGGGAAUCUCCCACAAUGGGCGAAAGCCUGAUGGAGCAACGCCGCGUGGGUGAAGAAGGUCUUCGGAUCGUAAAACCCUGUUGUUAGAGAAGAAAGUGCGUGAGAGUAACUGUUCACGUUUCGACGGUAUCUAACCAGAAAGCCACGGCUAACUACGUGCCAGCAGCCGCGGUAAUACGUAGGUGGCAAGCGUUAUCCGGAUUUAUUGGGCGUAAAGGGAACGCAGGCGGUCUUUUAAGUCUGAUGUGAAAGCCUUCGGCGUAAACGGAG